rnacentral:tRNA from 2 species
GCGCGAGUGGCGAAAUGGCAGACGCGCUGGCUUCAGGUGCCAGUGUCCGCAAGGACGUGCGGGUUCAAGUCCCGCCUCGCGCA